AAAACAUUCUUAUGAGUUUAUAUAUAGCACCAAUUCUUUGAGCAGUAUUGUUUGGUAACAAUAAUAACAUUAUUGUUUUAGUUUCUCAAAAGCUCUCUUCAUAGCAGUAGUUGAAUUGUGGCAGACUAAAUGCCACAGUACAUUUCUAUGAGUUCUACCAUUUUAUUCUGCAUCCAUGGGCAUGGAAGUUGCAGGUGUUGGUUUCUCUUACCAAGUUUAAAUUGUUUCCUAGUAUCCAUGAGCAAAAAAAUGUUACUGCAUGAAGAGCACCUUGACAAAAAAUGGGCAUCUCUCCCCAGUGAUUCGUGUAUUUGUCACCUCCAGCUUGAACUCCCAUAACUGGAGUGGAAUCUGAAACCUGUGAAUGUAUUCAGAAGUUGACUGCUGGAUUUUUCCACGAUGUAAGGUCCUUUUAACGCAGUAUGUCUGAAUUCAAGUCUCUCAGCAAGUGUUUCCAUUCUAUGUCAGUGUCUGUUUACAGAGCUGGAAGAGUGUGUCAAGUGACUGAGUGGCAUAAUGAUUUGGCCCAUGGAAAUGGUGGAAGAGCUCCCCAAUCCCAAUUCAGCUGCACCCUGCAAACACCACAUUUCUGUAUGAAGACUGCACUGAUAGAAAAAGAAGAUCUGUGCCACAGCUUUUUGCAGGACUUUACAUAAUAGCUUCUCAGUAGAUUUGUGAAUAGCCAGAAAAACUGUCGAGGGAAGCAAUGGUGCAGACACCAGCCUGAGCUGCAGUUCUUUCCUGUAGCUUUCUUUAUAUAAGGGCAGAGAGAUGUUAAGCGUACAGUGCUACUCCUAUUUCAUAUUUUUUUGCACUUUGACUAAAAGAUGCUAUAUGUGAUCCAAAAGUUCUGUCACAUUAACUAAGUUAACACAUUAACUAACCAUGCAUGUGGUUGUUGUUGGUUGUGAAACUACUAGCGUGGAUUUUUUUCUGGAUGAGAUGUUAACAUGAACACAUGUACAUGCAGGCAGACAUACUUUUGAAGAAGCAACUUGUUAAGUCUUUCUAAGAGUACUACAGUUUGAGACAGUAAUAAUUAGGAAAAAAAAAAAAAGAUAAAUAAUGGUCUAUUUUUAAAAUGGCAGUAUGUAACUGAUGCCUGAUGGAAAAGUCAGUGCAGAGAGAAUAAAACACACCAAAGAAAUAAACUGGAAGAAAAG
rnacentral:lncRNA from 1 species